rnacentral:lncRNA from 1 species
AAACACAGUUUAAUAGAUAUCACUAAGUCUAAUAGUAUGUUUUCCAAGUAAAAAGCAAUGGACACAGGGGAUAUCUAUCUUAGCCUGAAUUAGAGAUUGGAUACACUUUUGGGAUAUUUGAGAGGGAAGUGAAGGCUUUUAGAAGAGCACUAAGAGAUAGUGUAGCACCUAAAUGAAUAUGCUCCUUGAAUGCAGAAGAAGUAGCACAUACCAAUGAACCUCAGUUCGUUCAAAAUCUCAGGAAAUCAACGGAAACAGAAGAACUAAGUUCUUGGUUUGCAAGCAGGAACUGAAGAAAUAAAAGAAACCUACCAUCAAACUCACAAACAAACAAUGAAUCUAAUUCUCUAAUCACAAUAAUGAUCAGAGCAUUCAUAAAAAAAGCUACAUUACUAUGAAGCCUUUUACUAUUCAAAGCCCAGAUCUUAAAAAAGGACAUGAAGAAUAAGGUAGUGACAGGACAGCUAAUUUUGGAGUACUAUGAAGCCUAAUUACAUUUUUAUAAUACAAAGAACAAAAGUUACCUGGAUUACUAUUUGUUACAUACAAAUUAGAACUAUAAAGAAUAGUUUGAUCUAUGAAAAACAGAGAAUAUUAUUAUUAACAGAUGAUAAAGAACAAAUAGCAAAAUGAAAAAUAAAAUUUAAAAGAAUAAACUGAGUAACAUAUGAAGAUGCAAAAGAAUAAAGAAUGAGUUUAUAAGAGAAAGAAUGACAAUAUUGUAUUCCAGUGCAACACUUUCUUGCAGUUCUCAAAAUGCGCUCUCUUGGAUUCUAAAUCAGUUAUACAAUGUAGGACCUCACUCUCACCAUCUGUUAAAAAAGAAUAAGGAAAAAAAAAGGACUUUAAACAAUAACAAAAUAGAAUUACUACAAAAUCCACAGCAAUUUAUAUAGAUCCCCUGAAAUCAAUUAAGUAGAAUACUCUACUCCAAUUGCCACGCCAAAAAAAUGAAACUGAAAUGAAGUAGCUAUUUUCAUGUGUAUAUUAAUUCCUCGUUUGACACUCCUCAAUGUACAUACCACACGUUACACAGCUCUUCAAAUUCCAUUUGCUCUAAUCCCUGUCAGGCUACCUUCCCUAGAAAAUUUGCAGUUCACCUAAACCGCAUAUGCCUAUGGUAAACUGAACACCGGAGCAUCACGUAUGCCUAUGCUAACCUAAACGACACCAUAUGCACAACUCUGUUAGCAGAGUCAACCAUUUACAUCGUAAAAGGUAAAAGAAAAAUUUUCCCUUCUACCUUUUCACUCUCAAGCUCUUUCCUCAGUCUUCUCAACUCAUCUUCAAGUCCUCACUCAUUAUGAAGAGUGGACCUUAGUUUAUAAAUUGUAAGUCUAAAUGUAUUUCAGUAAAAGCAAAUUAAAAUUCUAUUGUAAAAUUUGAAUUGUAGUUGUUAGCUAAUCAAAUUAACAAAGCCAAUAAAUUGACAAUAAAUCUGAAGUUAUUUAGUUAGAAUCAAUUUAAAACCUUAACAUGAUUGUCCAAAAAAAAAUUAACAAAAAAGAGCUCCGUCCUGUCAAGGGAUGCGUUAAAAACACAUUAAUCAUUAUAAAUUGAUAUAAUAAUUCCCGUAGACACAAUACCGAUUGUCAUCAAGUUUUAUUUGAAAAAAAAAAAAAAGCAUCAGAGAGCCUAACUUUUAGCAAUUCAGUUCACAAAAAAUAAAAAUUACUAUGAUAUGGAUAUUUUUCUGGUAAGCAUCAUGCAUACAGCCUCAUAAGUUUAAGACUUAAAAGUAAGAUAGUGACUUCUAAUGAGACCAUGCCUCUGUUUUGACACCUGAUAGGAUUUUUAGGUUCUUUCCGCUAUAAGUUUCAAUUCAGUUUUGAUUC